rnacentral:rRNA from 1 species
GUGGGGAAUAUUGGACAAUGGGCGAAAGCCUGAUCCAGCAACGCCGCGUGAGGGAUGACUGCCUUCGGGUUGUAAACCUCUUUCAGCGGGGACGAAGCGCAAGUGACGGUACCCGCAGAAGAAGCACCGGCCAACUACGUGCCAGCAGCCGCGGUAAUACGUAGGGUGCGAGCGUUGUCCGGAAUUAUUGGGCGUAAAGGGCUCGUAGGCGGUUUGUCGCGUCGGGAGUGAAAACCAGGUGCUUAACACCUGGCCUGCUUCCGAUACGGGCAGACUAGAGGUAUGCAGGGGAGAACGGAAUUCCUGGUGUAGCGGUGAAAUGCGCAGAUAUCAGGAGGAACACCGGUGGCGAAGGCGGUUCUCUGGGCAUUACCUGACGCUGAGGAGCGAAAGUGUGGGGAGCGAACAGGAUUAGAUACCCUGGUAGUCC